GGGGCUGUAACUCAGUUGGUAGAGUGCUUGCCUAGCAUGCAUGAAGCACUGGGGUAUGCCUGUAACCCCA
rnacentral:tRNA from 1 species